GUUUCCGUAGUGUAGUGGUUAUCACGUCUGCCUAACACGCAGAAGGUCCCCAGUUCGUGCUUGGGCGGAAACC
rnacentral:tRNA from 1 species